UGGGGAAUUUUGGACAAUGGGCGAAAGCCUGAUCCAGCAAUGCCGCGUGUGUGAAGAAGGCCUUCGGGUUGUAAAGCACUUUUGUCCGGAAAGAAAUCCUUGGCUCUAAUACAGCCGGGGGAUGACGGUACCGGAAGAAUAAGCACCGGCUAACUACGUGCCAGCAGCCGCGGUAAUACGUAGGGUGCAAGCGUUAAUCGGAAUUACUGGGCGUAAAGCGUGCGCAGGCGGUUUGCUAAGACCGAUGUGAAAUCCCCGGGCUCAACCUGGGAACUGCAUUGGUGACUGGCAGGCUAGAGUAUGGCAGAGGGGGGUAGAAUUCCACGUGUAGCAGUGAAAUGCGUAGAGAUGUGGAGGAAUACCGAUGGCGAAGGCAGCCCCCUGGGCCAAUACUGACGCUCAUGCACGAAAGCGUGGGGAGCAGACAGGAUUAGAUACCCUGGUAGUCCACGCCCUAAACGAUGUCAACUAGUUGUUGGGGAUUCAUUUCCUUAGUAACGUAGCUAACGCGUGAAGUUGACCGCCUGGGGAGUACGGUCGCAAGAUUAAAACUCAAAUGAAUUGACGGGGUCAUAGCUGUUUCCU
rnacentral:rRNA from 1 species